CCCCGUUAAAUUGGUCCAACCUUUGGUUGAAGAACAAGAAAGCUCUUGAUCAUGUCUCUUCAACUAUCCGCCGUCGCUCGUUCUACAGAAAACCCCCACCCCCACCCACUCCUCAAUCACCACCACCGCCACAGCAACCACCACCACCGCCACAACAACUACCACCGGAAGUGACCGUUGUUCCUCUUUCUCCCCAUUUUCAGCAAACCCAUUACAACGAAACCCUACUUCCUGAUUCUCCCGAAGUAGUCCCC
rnacentral:lncRNA from 1 species